rnacentral:rRNA from 1 species
CUAACUGGAGGACCGAACCGACUAAUGUUGAAAAAUUAGCGGAUGACUUGUGGCUGGGGGUGAAAGGCCAAUCAAACCGGGAGAUAGCUGGUUCUCCCCGAAAGCUAUUUAGGUAGCGCCUCGUGAAUUCAUCUUCGGGGGUAGAGCACUGUUUCGGCUAGGGGGUCAUCCCGACUUACCAACCCGAUGCAAACUACGAAUACCGAAGAAUGUUAUCACGGGAGACACACGGCGGGUGCUAACGUCCGUCGUGAAGAGGGAAACAACCCAGACCGCCAGCUAAGGUCCCAAAGUCACAGUUAAGUGGGAAACGAUGUGGGAAGGCACAGACAGCCAGGAUGUUGGCUUAGAAGCAGCCAUCAUUUAAAGAAAGCGUAAUAGCUCACUGGUCGAGUCGGCCUGCGCGGAAGAUGUAACGGGGCUAAACUGUGCACCGAAGCUGCGGCAGCGACACUUAGGUGUUGUUGGGUAGGGGAGCGUUCUGUAAGCCUGCGAAGGUGGCCUGUGAGGGUUGCUGGAGGUAUCAGAAGUGCGAAUGCUGACAUAAGUAACGAUAAUGCGGGUGAAAAGCCCGCACGCCGGAAGACCAAGGGUUCCUGUCCAACGUUAAUCGGGGCAGGGUGAGUCGACCCCUAAGGCGAGGCCGAAAGGCGUAGUCGAUGGGAAACAGGUUAAUAUUCCUGUACUUGGUGUUACUGCGAAGGGGGGACGGAGAAGGCUAUGUUAGCCGGGCGACGGUUGUCCCGGUUUAAGCAUGUAGGCGGAGGUUCCAGGUAAAUCCGGUACCUUUUAACGCUGAGGUGUGAUGACGAGGCACUACGGUGCUGAAGUAACAAAUGCCCUGCUUCCAGGAAAAGCCUCUAAGCAUCAGGUAACAUUGAAUCGUACCCCAAACCGACACAGGUGGUCAGGUAGAGAAUACCAAGGCGCUUGAGAGAACUCGGGUGAAGGAACUAGGCAAAAUGGUGCCGUAACUUCGGGAGAAGGCACGCUGAUAUGUAGGUGAA